rnacentral:rRNA from 1 species
GACGAACGCUGGCGGCGUGCUUAACACAUGCAAGUCGAACGGAGAUUAUUAAUGAAGCUUGCGAUUUAUAAUCUUAGUGGCGGACGGGUGAGUAACGCGUGGGCAACCUACCCAUAAGCGGGGGAUAACAGUUGGAAACGACUGCUAAUACCGCAUAAGCUAUAGAGGUCGCAUGACCUAAAUAGUAAAGGUGGCAUUUAAAGAUGCUAUCACUUAUGGAUGGGCCCGCGUCUGAUUAGCUAGUUGGUGGGGUAGUGGCCUACCAAGGCAACGAUCAGUAGCCGGCCUGAGAGGGUGGACGGCCACACUGGGACUGAGACACGGCCCAGACUCCUACGGGAGGCAGCAGUGGGGAAUAUUGCGCAAUGGGGGAAACCCUGACGCAGCGACGCCGCGUGAGCGAAGAAGGCCUUAGGGUCGUAAAGCUCUGUUGUAAGGGACGAAUGUUUAUCUGACGAACAGUCAGAUAAAGUGACGGUACCUUACCAGCAAGCCCCGGCUAACUACGUG